rnacentral:rRNA from 1 species
GACGAACGCUGGCGGCGUGCUUAACACAUGCAAGUCGAACGGUGAAGCUCCAGCUUGCUGGAGUGGAUCAGUGGCGAACGGGUGAGUAACACGUGAGCAACCUGCCCCUGACUCUGGAAUAAGCGCUGGAAACGGCGUCUAAUACUGGAUACGAGAAGGGUCCGCAUGGGCACUUUCUGGAAAGUUUUUCGGUUGGGGAUGGGCUCGCGGCCUAUCAGCUUGUUGGUGAGGUAAUGGCUCACCAAGGCGACGACGGGUAGCCGGCCUGAGAGGGCGACCGGCAACACUGGGACUGAGAAACGGCCCAGACUCCUACGGGAGGAAGAAGUGGGGAAUAUUGAACAAUGGGCGAAAGCCUGAUGCAGCGACGCCGCGUGAGGGAUGACGGCCUUCGGGUUGUAAACCUCUUUCAGCAGGGAAGAAGCGAAAGUGACGGUACCUGCAGAAGAAGCACCGGCUAACUACGUG